rnacentral:rRNA from 1 species
UUAAGUGACUAAGCGUACAAGGUGGAUGCCUUGGCAAUCAGAGGCGAAGAAGGACGUGCUAAUCUGCGAAAAGCUUGGAUGAGUCGAUAAGAGGCGUUUAAUCCAAGAUAUCCGAAUGGGGAAACCCAGUAGAUGAAGAAUCUACUAUCAACAAGUGAAUUCAUAGCUUGUUGAGGCAAACCGGGAGAACUGAAACAUCUAAGUACCCCGAGGAAAAGAAAUCAACCGAGAUUUCGUCAGUAGCGGCGAGCGAAAGCGAAAGAGCCAGUAAGUGAUAGCAGUAUAGUGAGGAGAAUGUGUUGGGAAGCACAAUCAAAGAGGGUGAUAAUCCCGUAUCUAAAAACCAUAUUGUGGUACUAAGCUAACGAGAAGUAGGGCGGGACACGUGAUAUCCUGUUUGAAGAAGGGGGGCCCAUCCUCCAAGGCUAAAUACUCCUGAUUGACCGAUAGUGAACCAGUACUGUGAAGGAAAGGCGAAAAGAACCCCGGUGAGGGGAGUGAAAUAGAACCUGAAACCUUGUACGUACAAGCAGUGGGAGCCCCAUCACUUAAUCCGAUUGGAAGGUGAUGAAAAGCAACCGCACUUAAACAAUGGUAAGAGGAGCGAAGCGAGUCAAACCACCCAAAAGAAGCAGUGGGAUUAAGUGAUGGGGUGACUGCGUACCUUUUGUAUAAUGGGUCAGCGACUUAUAUUUUGUAGCGAGGUUAACCGAAUAGGGGAGCCGAAGGGAAACCGAGUCUUAACUGGGCGUUGAGUUGCAGGGUAUAGACCCGAAACCCGGUGAUCUAGCCAUGGGCAGGUUGAAGGUUGGGUAACACUAACUGGAGGACCGAACCGACUAAUGUUGAAAAAUUAGCGGAUGACUUGUGGCUGGGGGUGAAAGGCCAAUCAAACCGGGAGAUAGCUGGUUCUCCCCGAAAUCUAUUUAGGUAGAGCCUUGAGGUGACACCUUUGGGGGUAGAGCACUGUUUCGGCUAGGGGUCCAUCCCGGAUUACCAACCCGAUGCAAACUACGAAUACCAAAGAGUGAUACUCAGGAGACACACGGCGGGUGCUAACGUCCGUCGUGGAGAGGGAAACAACCCAGACCGCCAGCUAAGGUCCCCAAGUCUAUAUUAAGUGGGAAACGAAGUGGGAAGGCUUAGACAGCUAGGAUGUUGGCUUAGAAGCAGCCAUCAUUUAAAGAAAGCGUAAUAGCUCACUAGUCGAGUCGGUCUGCGCGGAAGAUGUAACGGGGCUGAAAUAUAGCACCGAAGCUGCGGCAUCAGGCGUAUCACUAAUACGCCUGUUGGGUAGGGGAGCGUUGUGUAAGCGGAUGAAGGUUCAUCGAGAGGUGGGCUGGACGUAUCACAAGUGCGAAUGCUGACAUAAGUAACGAUAAAACGGGUGAAAAACCCGUUCGCCGGAAGACCAAGGGUUCCUGUCCAACGUUAAUCGGGGCAGGGUAAGUCGGCUCCUAAGGCGAGGCUGAAAAGCGUAGUCGAUGGGAAACAGGUUAAUAUUCCUGUACUUGGUAAAGCUGCGAUGUGGGGACGGAGUAGGUUAGGUUAUCGCACUGUUGGAUAUGUGCGUUUAAGUUGGUAGGUGGGAAGUUUAGGCAAAUCCGGACUUCCUUAACACAGAGAGAUGAUGACGAGGCUCUACGGAGCUGAAGUAACUGAUACCACACUUCCAGGAAAAGCCACUAAGCGAAAGGCUUUACUAAACCGUACUGAAAACCGACACAGGUGGUCAGGUAGAGAAUACUCAGGCGCUUGAGAGAACUCGGGUGAAGGAACUAGGCAAAAUAGCACCGUAACUUCGGGAGAAGGUGCGCCGGCGUAGAUUGUAAGGGCUAGCCCCUGAAGGUUGAACCGGUCGAAGAUACCAGCUGGCUGCAACUGUUUAUUAAAAACACAGCACUCUGCAAACACGAAAGUGGAGGUAUAGGGUGUGAUGCCUGCCCGGUGCUGGAAGGUUAAUUGAUGGUGUAAUCGCAAGAGAAGCACCUGAUCGAAGCCCCAGUAAACGGCGGCCGUAACUAUAACGGUCCUAAGGUAGCGAAAUUCCUUGUCGGGUAAGUUCCGACCUGCACGAAUGGCAUAAUGAUGGCCAGGCUGUCUCCACCCGAGACUCAGUGAAAUUGAAAUCGCCGUGAAGAUGCGGUGUACCCGCGGCUAGACGGAAAGACCCCGUGAACCUUUACUAUAGCUUGACACUGAACAUUGAAUUUUGAUGUGUAGGAUAGGUGGGAGACUAAGAAGAUGAUACGCCAGUAUUGUUGGAGUCGACCUUGAAAUACCACCCUUUAACGUUUGAUGUUCUAACGAAGAUUGCGGAACGUGGUCUCGGACAGUGUCUGGUGGGUAGUUUGACUGGGGCGGUCUCCUCCCAAAGCGUAACGGAGGAGCACGAAGGUUUGCUAAUCACGGUCGGACAUCGUGAGGUUAGUGCAAUGGUAUAAGCAAGCUUAACUGCGAGACAGACAAGUCGAGCAGGUACGAAAGUAGGUCAUAGUGAUCCGGUGGUUCUGAAUGGAAGGGCCAUCGCUCAACGGAUAAAAGGUACUCCGGGGAUAACAGGCUGAUACCGCCCAAGAGUUCAUAUCGACGGCGGUGUUUGGCACCUCGAUGUCGGCUCAUCACAUCCUGGGGCUGAAGUAGGUCCCAAGGGUAUGGCUGUUCGCCAUUUAAAGUGGUACGCGAGCUGGGUUUAGAACGUCGUGAGACAGUUCGGUCCCUAUCUGCCGUGGGCGUAGGAGAAUUGGUUGGGGCUGCUCCUAGUACGAGAGGACCGGAGUGGACGCACCACUGGUGUUCCGGUUGUGUCGCCAGACGCAUUGCCGGGUAGCUAAGUGCGGAAGAGAUAAGUGCUGAAAGCAUCUAAGCACGAAACUUGCCAAGAGAUGAGUUCUCCCAAUCUAAGAGAUAGUAAGGGUUGUUGUAGACUACGACGUAGAUAGGUCAGGUGUGUAAGUGUAGUGAUACAUUGAGCUAACAGAUACUAAUUGCCCGAGAGGCUUAACUAU